GAUGAACGCUGACAGAAUGCUUAACACAUGCAAGUCAACUUGAACUUCGGUUUGGGUGGCGGACGGGUGAGUAACGCGUAAAGAACUUGCCUCACAGUUAGGGACAACAUUUGGAAACGAAUGCUAAUACCUGAUAUUAUGAUUUUAGGGCAUCCUAGAAUUAUGAAAGCUAUAUGCGCUGUGAGAGAGCUUUGCGUCCCAUUAGCUAGUUGGAGAGGUAACGGCUCACCAAGGCGAUGAUGGGUAGCCGGCCUGAGAGGGUGAACGGCCACAAGGGGACUGGGACACGGCCCUUACUCCUACGGGAGGCAGCAGUGGGGAAUAUUGGACAAUGGACCAAGAGUCUGAUCCAGCAAUUCUGUGUGCACGAUGAAGUUUUUCGGAAUGUAAAGUGCUUUCAGUUGGGAAGAAAAAAAUGACGAUACCAACAGAAGAAGUGACGGCUAAAUACGUG
rnacentral:rRNA from 1 species